rnacentral:piRNA from 1 species
UGACCAAGGCCUGAGGCCAGUUGGUA